AAUCAACGCUGGCGGCGUGCCUCAGACAUGCAAGUCGAACGCGAAAUUUCCCUUCGGGGAGAAAGUAGAGUGGCGCACGGGUGAGUAACACGUAGGUAAUUUGCCUUUGGGUGGGAAUAACUCAGGGAAACUUGAGCUAAUACCGCAUAAUGCAGCGGCUCGACAUCGAGACAGUUGUUAAAGCGGGGGAGUCGCAAGACCUCGCGCCUAAAGAGAAGCCUGCGGCAGAUUAGCUAGUUGGUAGGGUAAUGGCCUACCAAGGCAACGAUCUGUAACCGGCCUGAGAGGGCGGUCGGUC
rnacentral:rRNA from 1 species